ACGGAAGGCAGCAGUGGGGAAUAUUGGGCAAUGGGCGAAAGCCUGACCUAGCAACGCCGCGUGAAGGAAGAAGGUUUUCGGAUUGUAAACUUCUUUUAUCAGGGACGAAGAAAGUGACGGUACCUGAUGAAUAAGCCACGGCUAACUACGUGCCAGCAGCCGCGGUAAUACGUAGGUGGCAAGCGUUAUCCGGAUUUACUGGGUGUAAAGGGCGCGUAGGCGGGGAUGCAAGUCAGGUGUGAAAUCUAUGGGCUUAACCCAUAAACUGCAUUUGAAACUGUAUCUCUUGAGUGUCGGAGAGGUAGACGGAAUUCCUAGUGUAGCGGUGAAAUGCGUAGAUAUUAGGAGGAACACCAGUGGCGAAGGCGGGCUACUGGACGAUAACUGACGCUGAGGCGCGAAAGCGUGGGGAGCAAACAGGAUUAGAUACCCUGGUA
rnacentral:rRNA from 1 species